UACGUAGGGGGCAAGCGUUGUCCGGAAUUAUUGGGCGUAAAGAGCGCGUAGGCGGUCCGAUAAGUCGGCUGUGAAAGUCAUGGGCUCAACCCAUGAAAGCCGGCCGAUACUGUCGGACUAGAGUCCGGAAGAGGCAAGUGGAAUUCCCGGUGUAGUGGUGAAAUGCGUAGAUAUCGGGAGGAACACCAGUGGCGAAGGCGACUACCUGGCCUGUUCUUGACGCUGAGGCGCGAAAGCUAGGGGAGCAAACGGG
rnacentral:rRNA from 1 species